rnacentral:rRNA from 1 species
AACUUUCAACAACGGAUCUCUUGGUUCUGGCAUCGAUGAAGAACGCAGCAAAAUGCGAUAAGUAAUGUGAAUUGCAGAAUUCAGUGAAUCAUCGAAUCUUUGAACGCGCAUUGCGCCCGCCAGUAUUCUGGCGGGCAUGCCUGUUCGAGCGUCAUUU